rnacentral:lncRNA from 1 species
GGUCCCCUCCCACAUUGUGGGAGAUUUGUUCUUUCCCCUUUUGCAAUAAAUCUUGCUGCUGCUCACUUUUUAGGUCCACACUACCUUUAUGAGCUGUAACACUCAUGGUGAAGGUUUGCAGCUUCACUCCUGAAGCCAGCCAGACCAGGAACCCACCAUGAGAAACAAACAACUCUGGAGCCGCCAUAAGACUCACUGUGGCUUUAAGAGCUAUAAGACUCACUGUGAAGGUCUGCGGCUUCACCCCUGAAGUCAGCCAGACCACGAACCCACCGGGAGGAACAAACAACUCCGGACGCACCACCUUUAAGAGCUGUAACGCUCACUGCAAAGGUCUGCGGCUUCACUCAUGAAGUCGUGCAUAGACCACGAACCCAGUAGAAGGAAGAAACUCCUGACACAUCUGAACAUCUGAAGGAACAAACUCUGGACACACCGUCUUUAAGAAGUGUAACACUGCGAGGGUCCGCGGCUUCAUUCUUGAAGUCAGCGGCACCAGGAACCCAUUGGAGGGAACCAAUUCCGGACACACAGCCUCGUGGAAUGGUUCUGCACAGUGUGUGUGUGUUUCCCGUCAACCCUGUGCACACUAUUAAAAGAACACAAGCGCUAAGCCUCCCUCUCAGACCUACUGAUGCAAGACAUUGUGAUUUUGACCUUGUUGGAUGCUGCACCUAAAGGUGGAUGGAAGAGGAAGAGUCUUGGGGGCUACCAUCCUGGCUGGAGAAGCUGGCACGAGGCUCCCUCUUGUGGAUGCAGCAAGAAAACAAAGAAGAAAUAUAUUGCCGUAUAUUGAUUGGACUCUAUUCUGGGCUAUCUUGGAAACUGCAGCUUGAAGACAGCUAGGCCUCAGCAUAUGCCCUGACCUCCUGCAAUCUAAGCUCUGGAUCCUGGUCAACUUUGGGAGAAUAAUCAAGCCAAUUUUCAGAGAAGCAGUUUCUAUGUCUUUCAGGUCCUUGUGUCCUAAGGGAUUAGGAGCAUUAGGGACCUGGUCUCAGUGUGAUCCUGAGAGCUCAUCCAUUCUCUGGUCAUCCUUCAAGGAAAUGCCAGGCUCCUGAAUUCAUCUGCACAAACAGAGCUGGCCAGGCUACCUGCUGCCCACCAUCCCAUUGUCUUUCCUGCAUUGUUCUGGGACUCUGGCCACACUUACCUUCCAAAAUAACUGUGCAGUUGUCAUCAUUGUUCAGGAGACUAUUUUGGAACACUGGCUUAGCUUGGUGACGUGUAGAGAUCCAGGAAGGGCCUCAGCUGUCGGGAGGGAGGCCCAGGGCCAUCAGGGAGCUGGGGGUGGUAAGAAGUGACAGGGAUUGGGCUUCAGGAGGUGUGGAGGGGCCCAGGGGGAGCACCAUUUCUGACAAGUGUUCAGUCUUGGUGUGGAGAAUUGCAAAGAAAGAGGAGAAAGGAUUUGGGGGGAUUGGGUGCAGGUUGGAGGGAAGCUGGGAGGGGAGAAAAGAGUGAAGGAACAUUAGAUUGAUUAGUGCUGGAGGAAGAGGUAAGGAGAGACUUCGUUCACAGAGGAGGGGCUGGGAAGUGAGGGUAUGAGUUAAAGGGCACUAAUGGUAUGCUGACAUAUUGUUUCAAGAGUGGUUUCUGUAGCCUGGAGGACUUAAGGACAGCUGUUGGGAAUCUACGGGGUGAUAGAAAAGUAAGUGGGAGAAAGGGGAUGUGAUGAUUGAUGGGCAGCUUAGUGUCGAGUCAGGUGACAUCCUGCCAUGUUUAGCAAUGUAAUAAGUGGUCAGAUGACCUCACAAUCUUCAGGGCUGGGAGAUGGCAGAACCUUCUCACAGGGGUUGUGACAGAGGAGUUGGGUAGAUGUGUUCUCAGCAUAGAUGUGUUCUCAGUGGGCAAAGGUGGAAUUCCCUUCUCUUUUCUGUUUUCGCUUGACAACACAGGCCUGCAGAAACAGCAUACCAUGAGUUAAAACCCCUCAAUUGCAUGGGUUUUUGCACCCCCAUGAUUUGACAGGGUCUCUAGCUCUUUGAAAGUCUGCAACAAGACAGAAGAAAAGUCUGGGCUCCUGUGGGGGUGUUACAUGUGCUUGUGUACAAAUUAGCCCCCACAGGACUCUGCAGCUCCACGUUGCUCUGCUGGGCACUGGGGCCAUGUGCUCUGUUGGUCUAUGGGAACCUCUGUCUCCCUAGAGUUACAGUUUAAGAGAGGGGUUUCCAAAAAAGGUUGCUAAUGUCCCAGGAUUUUAUGGACUUUAAGUAAAACUUCUUUUUUUCUGUUGUACUCAGAAUGUUUUGAAGCUUUGUUCCUAGGUUACCUCACAGUGCCUGAAUUCUUUCCUUUCUUUUCUUAGACAUGGGGUCUUGCUCUCUCACCCACGCUGGAGCGUAGCAGCUAUUCACAGGUGUGAUCAUAGCACACCACAGCCUCCUGGGCUCAAGCAAUCCCCCUGCUUCAGCCUCCUGAGUAGCUGGGACCAUAAGCAGGAGCCCAUACCCAGCUUCAAUUCUUCUUUUCCUACAAUAAGUUCUGGUCCAGAAAAUUUUGCAACUCACCCCCGCCCUUCACUCCACAAAAAGACUUCCACUGGGAUUCCUGUCAAAAUGCCAGACUCACUUGAAUCCCUAGGAUGGAUCCAGCCUCGGUUUAAGUGCAGAUUCCUGCUUCAUCUCAGAGCCUGGCUGUUUUGAGGAGCAGGUGGUUUUACCCAUCCACCCACUCGCCCCUUGCUUCAUUGUCUAGGCCUGUCCUUUCUCACCUAGUGUCCUAAUCCCCUCCUCACUACCUCACAAUGGAGAAAGCUCUGUGUUGCUUUCUUUCAGGAUUUUCCUGCUUUUCAAAAGAGCUAGGGCACUAUGUGCUUUCAUGCAGGACCUAAGCAAAUAAGGACAUCUCAAGGAGAUGCCUAACUCUUAACCUGGUGCCCACCCCACCCUGGAGAGGACAGUUCUUGUUCAUAGUGUACAUGAUUGUUUAUGUCAAAGACCCAAUGAGUUUGCAAAGACCUCUUAGGACUAAUAAGUGAGUUUAACAAGUUUGCAGGAUAUAAGGUUAACACACACACACAAACAAAUCAAUUGUAUUUUUAUACAUCAGCAUAUUAGGGUUCUCUAGGAAAACAGAACCAAUAGGAUACACACACACACACGUAUAUAUGUGAGAGGUACACACACACGUGUGUGUGUGUGUUUAAAAAGAGCGAGGCAGAGAGAGAUUGGUUAGUUUUAAUGAAUUUGCUUGUGUGAUUGUAGGGGCUGGCAAAUUUGAAUUCUACAGAGCAGGCUGUCAUGGUGGAGACCCAAGGAAGAGCUGAUGUUGCAGCUCAUGCCUGGAGGCCGUCUGCUGGUAGAACUCCCUCUUUUCCAAGGAACCUCAGUCUCUCUUCUCAAGGCCUACAACUGAUUGGGUGAGGUCCACUUACAUUAUGGGGGGUCAUCUGCUUUACUCAAAGUUGAUUGAUUUAAGUGUUAAUCACAUCUAAAACAUUUCUUCACAGCAUCAUCUAGACUGGUGUUUGAGCCCAAACUGUCUACCAUGGCAUGGCCAAGUUGACACAUAAAAUUAACCUCAAGGCUGGGCGUGGUGGCUCACGCCUAUAAUCCCAGCACUUUGGGAGGCCGAGGCGGGUGGAUCACAAGGUCAGGAGAUUGAGACCAUCCUGGCAAACAUGGGGAAACCCCAUCUCUACUAAAAAUACAAAAAAAUUAGCUGGGAGUAGUGGCGGGCGCCUGUAGUCCCAGCUACUCAGGAGGCUGAGGCAGGAGAAUGGUGUGAACCCGGGAGGCGGAGCUUGCAGUGAGCUGAGAUCGUGCCACUGCACUCCAGCCUGGGUAACAGAGUGAGACUCCGUCUCAAAAAAAAAAAAAAAAAAUUAACCAUCACAACCAGAAAUGUGGAAUUGGAUAGGAAAAUUGAAAACCAGUACCACAUAGAAUACCAAAAAAUGAAAUAGAUAAACAUCUUACUGAAAGCUACAAAAUACCAGUGAAAAUACUCAAAGAAGAUAUAAACAAAUAACAAGAAACACCAUAUUUGAAGAUUGGAAGACUUAACUUUAAAAAGUUGCCAAUUCUGCCAAAACUGAUAUAGAGAUUUAAAACAAUUCCAGUCAAAAUCUCACCAGGACAUAUUGUUGCUAUAGACAAGCUGAUUCUAAUGUUUACAUGGAAAGUCCAAGGACUUGAAUAGCUAAAACAACUUUGAAAAAUAAGAAUAAUGGUGUAGGAAACAUGCUACCCAGUUUUAAAACAUACUACAAAGUUACAGUAAUCAGGACAGUAUGGUAUUGCCUGGGAACACAGAGCUCAAUGGAACAGAAUCGAGUCCAGAAAGAUAACUGCUUAAAUAUGGCCAUGUGAUUUUUGACAAGGGUGCAAGGGUAAUUCAGUAAAGGAUCAUAUUUUCAACAAAUGAUGUUAGAACAACUGAACAUUCACAUAAACAAAACAGACAAACAAGAAAACUGAAACCUUACAGCUUGUAUACAAAUGAACUCAAUAUUGAUGAGAUGUAAAAGUGAAGCUCUAAAAAGUUCAGAAAAGAACAUAGUAGAAAAUCUCUUCCUGGGAUUAGGAAAAGAGUUCUUAGACACGGUACUAUAAGCACGAUCCGAAAAAGUUGAUAAAUAGGUCUUUAUUGAAAUUAAAAGACUUAAGAUGCUAUUAAAAGAAUGAAAACAGUAUAGCCCAGGAGAAAAACUUUGCAAGUCACAUAUGUCACAAGACUUUGCAGAAUAUAUAAAUGGCAAAUAAAACACAAAAAGAUGUUCAAUAUCAUUAAGCAUUAGAGACUUGUAAACAAACCAAAUACACCUAUUAGAAUUGCUGAAAAAAGGAAAACCUUUGGUAAUACCAAGAACUGUUGAGAGCAAUUACAUUUUUUUUUUAUUAUUAUUAUACUUUAAGUUCUGGGGUACAAGUGCAGAACGUGCAGUUUUGUUACAUAGGGAUACAUGUGCCAUGGUGGUUUACUGCACCCAUCAACCCAUCACCUACAUUAGGUAUUUAUCCUAAUGUUAUCCCUCCCCUAGCCCCCUACCCCCCGACAGGCUCUGGUGUGUGAUGUACCCCUUCCUAUGUCCAUGUGUUCUCAUUGUUCAACUCCCAC